GAUGAACGCUAGCGAUAGGCUUAACACAUGCAAGUCGAGGGGUAACGUGUUGGAAGCUUGCUUCCGAUGACGACGACCGGCGGAUGGGUGCGUAACGCGUAUGCAACUUGCCUCACAGUGGAGAAUAACCCGGAGAAAUCCGGACUAAUGUUCCAUACACUCUUGAGUACGCCUGUACAUGAGAGGAAAGAUUUAUCGCUGUGAGAUAGGCAUGCGUCCUAUUAGGUAGUUGGUGAGGUAACGGCUCACCAAGCCGACGAUAGGUAGGGGUGCUGAGAGGCAGAUCCCCCACAUUGGGACUGAGACACGGCCCAAACUCCUACGGGAGGCAGCAGUGAGGAAUAUUGGUCAAUGGAGGAAACUCUGAACCAGCCAAGUCGCGUGAAGGAAGAAUGUCCUAAGGAUUGUAAACUUCUUUAGCGAGUGAGUAAGGACUUCCACGUGAUGGGAGUUUGAAAGUAGCUCGAGAAUAAGUAUCGGCUAACUCCGUGCCAGCAGCCGCGGUAAUACGGAGGAUACGAGCGUUAUCCGGAUUUAUUGGGUUUAAAGGGUGCGCAGGUGGUCUUGCAAGUCAGUGGUGAAAAGCUGAGGCUCAACCUCAGCCUUGCCGUUGAAACUGUAAGACUUGAGAGUACAUGAUGUGGGCGGAAUGCGUAGUGUAGCGGUGAAAUGCAUAGAUAUUACGCAGAACUCCGAUUGCGAAGGCAGCUCACAAAGGUAUAUCUGACACUGAGGCACGAAAGCGUGGGGAGCGAACAGG
rnacentral:rRNA from 1 species